CGUCAUUUGUACCUUCAAGCUCUGCUGGGUGUUGGGUGUUUGUCUCGCCUUUGCGUGUAGACUCGCCUUAAAACAAUUGGCAGCCGGCGUAUUGAUUUCGGAGCGCAGUACAUCUCGCGCUUUGCACUCAUAACGACGACGUCCAAAAGUACAUUUUUACACUCUUGACCUCGGAUCAGGAUACGCA
rnacentral:rRNA from 1 species